GGGAAUGUGGCUCAAGUAAAGUUGUUUCCUUAUGGCAAGUAAUCUAGGUUCAAAUUCUAGCAUUCCCU
rnacentral:tRNA from 1 species